AGUGAACGCUGGCGGUAGGCCUAACACAUGCAAGUCGAACGGCAGCACAGUAAGAGCUUGCUCUUACGGGUGGCGAGUGGCGGACGGGUGAGGAAUACAUCGGAAUCUACUUUUUCGUGGGGGAUAACGUAGGGAAACUUACGCUAAUACCGCAUACGACCUACGGGUGAAAGCAGGGGAUCUUCGGACCUUGCGCGAUUGAAUGAGCCGAUGUCGGAUUAGCUAGUUGGCGGGGUAAAGGCCCACCAAGGCGACGAUCCGUAGCUGGUCUGAGAGGAUGAUCAGCCACACUGGAACUGAGACACGGUCCAGACUCCUACGGGAGGCAGCAAUGGGGAAUAUUGGACAAUGGGCGCAAGCCUGAUCCGGCCAUACCGCGUGGGUGAAGAAGGCCUUCGGGUUGUAAAGCCCUUUUGUUGGGAAAGAAAAGCAGCAGGUUAAUACCCCGCUGUUCUGACGGUACCCAAAGAAUAAGCACCGGCUAACUUCGUG
rnacentral:rRNA from 1 species